UACGGGGGGGGCAAGCGUUGUUCGGAAUUACUGGGCGUAAAGGGCGCGUAGGCGGUUUGCUAAGUUGGACGUGAAAACUCUGGGCUUAACCCAGAGCCUGCAUCCAAAACUGCCAAGCUGGAGUACGGUAGGGGCAGAGGGAAUUUCCGGUGGAGCGGUGAAAUGCGUAGAGAUCGGAAAGAACACCAACGGCGAAAGCACUCUGCUGGGCCGACACUGACACUGAGAGACGAAAGCUAGGGGAGCGAAUGGG
rnacentral:rRNA from 1 species